AACUAACGCUGGCGGCGUGCCUAACACAUGCAAGUCGUACGAGAAAGUUGGCUUCGGCCGAUGAGUAAAGUGGCGCACGGGUGAGUAACGCGUGGAUAAUCUGCCCUUUAGUUUGGAAUAACGUACCGAAAGGUGCGCUAAUACCGGGUAAUGCUGAGUGACUACUGUCACUUAGCCAAAGAAGGCUUCUGUUUACAUGCUUUUGCUGAAGGAUGAGUCCGCGUACCAUUAGCUAGUUGGUAGGGUAAUGGCCUACCAAGGCGACGAUGGUUAGCUGGUCUGAGAGGAUGAUCAGCCACACUGGAACUGAGACACGGGCCAGACUCCUACGGGAGGCAGCAGUGAGGAAUAUUGCGCAAUGGGGGCAACCCUGACGCAGCAACGCCGCGUGAGUGAGGAAGGUUUUCGGACCGUAAAGCUCUGUCGAGUGGGAAGAAAUGCAUGGUGGCUAAUAUCCAUCAUGCUUGACGGUACCGCUAAAGGAAGCACCGGCUAACUCCGUGCCAGCAGCCGCAGUAAAAC
rnacentral:rRNA from 1 species